AUGAGACUGGAAAAGCUGCCUUUUAAUGGCUGGGUUUGCACUACCCUCCCCUGGAUCCUGAGGAGAACUGGCUAAGCAGGAAUUUUUACAGAGCAAUUACCAUUCAAACAACCCUGCAGCACUUAGCCUUCACCCCGUGACAGGAUGUUUGGCUAGGAGAGGAAUCCAGCCUGGUAGUUCUGCAACUUGGACAGAGCUUUGGAAGUUGGGUGAAACCUCACUGAAGCUGGUGGAUGUAAUGGCUGCCCUUCAAUCAGGAUAAAAGCGACAACCUGCAAGACCCUGAAUGCUGUCUAACCGGUCAGGCCAAAAGAGAUGACUGCACACACUAAUGUACAGAUUCCCCCAG